UCCUCACCAUCCCUCACCCACUGAUUUUUCACCUUCUUAUAUCCCAUAUGGUGGAAUGAAUGUAUAGUGUAAUAAUUAAUGUGUGUAAGAACUCUAGAAUCUUCACCUUCCAAAUUAACUUUAGCAUCUAUAAAAAUCAAGGUGAAGACCAUUCCAUAGGGGAGGCACGCUUUAGUCCUGGAUCUCCUUACAGCAUUCUUUA
rnacentral:lncRNA from 1 species